UACGAGAGGCCCAACCGUUAUUCGGAAUUACUGGGCUUAAAGAGUUCGUAGGCGGCAUGAAAAGCAGGGUGUGAAAGCCCUCGGCUCAACCGAGGAAUUGCGCUCUGAACUGUCGUGCUAGAGGAAUCUAGAGGUGAGCGGAACUGAUGGUGGAGCGGUGAAAUGCGUUGAUAUCAUCAGGAACACCGGAGGCGAAGGCGGCUCACUGGGGAUUUUCUGACGCUGAGGAACGAAAGCCAGGGGAGCGAACGGG
rnacentral:rRNA from 1 species